GUGGGGAAUAUUGGACAAUGGGCGCAAGCCUGAUCCAGCAAUGCCGCGUGGAUGAAGAAGGUUUUCGGAUUGUAAAGUCCUUUCGGCGGGGGAGAUGAUGACGGUACCCGCAGAAGAAGCCCCGGCUAACUUCGUGCCAGCAGCCGCGGUAAUACGAAGGGGGCUAGCGUUGCUCGGAAUGACUGGGCGUAAAGGGCGCGUAGGUGGAUGGGUUUGUCGGGCGUGAAAUUCCAGGGCUUAACCUUGGGGCUGCGUUCGGGACGGCUUGUCUGGAGUUUGGAAGAGGGUCGUGGAAUUCCCAGUGUAGAGGUGAAAUUCGUAGAUAUUGGGAAGAACACCGGUGGCGAAGGCGGCGACCUGGUCCAAGACUGACGCUGAUGCGCGAAAGCGUGGGGAGCAAACAGG
rnacentral:rRNA from 1 species